ACUCAGGUAUGAAGGAACCCUGUUAGAGGACUCAGGUAUGAAGGAACCCUUUUAGAGGACUCAGGUAUGAAGGAACCCAGUUAGAGGACUCAGGUAUGAAGGAACCCUGUUAGAGGACUCAGGUAUGAAGGAACCCUGUUAGAUGACUCAGGUAUGAAGGAUCCCUGUUAGAGGACUCAGGUAUGAAAGAACCCUGUUAGAGGACUCAGGUAUGAAAGAACCCUGUUAGAGGACUCAGGUAUGAAGGAACCCUGUUAGAGGACUCAGGUAUGAAGGAAUCCUGUUGGAGGACUCAGGUAUGAAGGAAUCCUGUUGGAGGACUCAGGUAUGAAGGAAUCCUGUUGGAGGACUCAGGUAUGAAGGAAUCCUGUUGGAGGACUCAGG
ensembl:lncRNA